rnacentral:rRNA from 1 species
ACUCCUACGGGAGGCAGCAGUGGGGAAUUUUGCGCAAUGGGCGAAAGCCUGACGCAGCAACGCCGCGUGAGUGAUGAAGGUCUUCGGAUCGUAAAGCUCUUUCGGCCGGGACGAAAACGGGCUGGCCAACAUCCAGCUCCUUGACGGUACCGGAAGAAGAAGCACCGGCUAACUCUGUGCCAGCAGCCGCGGUAAUACAGAGGGUGCGAGCGUUGUUCGGAAUUAUUGGGCGUAAAGCGCGUGUAGGCGGUGGUGCAUGUCGGGUGUGAAAUCCCUCGGCUUAACCGAGGAAGUGCGCCCGAAACUGCAUCGCUCGAGUGCCGGAGAGGGUGGCGGAAUUCCCGGUGUAGAGGUGAAAUUCGUAGAUAUCGGGAGGAACACCAGUGGCGAAGGCGGCCACCUGGACGGACACUGACGCUGAGACGCGAAAGCGUGGGGAUCAAACAGGAUUAGAUACCCUGGUAGUCCACGCUGUAAACGAUGGGAACUAGGUGUGGCGGGUGUUGACCCCUGCCGUGCCGCAGCUAACGCAUUAAGUUCCCCGCCUGGGAAGUACGGUCGCAAGACUAAAACUCAAAUGAAUUGACGG